AUUCCAUGAUAAGCACACUUUUGUAAUUAUUCUUUGUACCUCUCCCAUGCCUCAUACAAAGACUUAACAUCCAUUUUUUGGAAAGUAGCGAUCUUGUUCCUCAACUU
rfam:Gossypium hirsutum cultivar TM-1 chromosome 17, whole genome shotgun sequence